CGUUGCGCUGGGUUUUUUUACCACCACCGACUGUGUUGCCAAUUUAAAUUUCGUUUCGGAAUCAAAGCACGGUGCAUGUUUUGUUUUUUUAUCAAAAUGUCAACAUGAGCUAGGAAAGGAAGAGCGGAAGAGCCAGGGCUCUGCGAACAUACGCGGAUUGUGUAGCCUUUAUAUAUAUAUGGCUUCGCGUGGCAUUAUAUUGGUGUUACGUACGUAGUAUACCAGGACCAGUAAAGCUGCAAGACUUUGUCGGCCAGUCAAAAGUGGACGCUGCAAUCCAAGGUGAAACUUUCUUUCUCAUGGUGGGGCACACGCAUGAAGAUUUGGAUCAACUGUUAAGUGUUUAGUGCAAGGGAACUUAGACAGAAGCCUGCAACAACCCGCGAUGCCCUCCUUCAAGAUUGGGGACAUCCGGACACCCACCACCAAGCUAUCAGACUUCAAGCCCUUCAUGCCUGCCCCAAGGGAAGCGACAACCCUCCCAACUAAAGUUCAAGAGGCAAUAGAGAAGAACAAUGAAAAACUGCAAAAACAAUCAAAGAUCACUCUGACAAAGCACCGAAGACAAGCGUCAGUAUCAGAACAAUAAAGAAG
rnacentral:lncRNA from 1 species